UGUAGCUUUUAUCUUGAUUUGGCUUUGGUACCAUUUUUUUAUGCUCAAGGAAUACCUAGGAAAAUUAUAGAUAAGUUAGUGUUAGAAAGAGUGAGAAGGGAAAUGGGGGACCUAAAAUGACAUGAAGAGAAAUGUUGUAAAAAGAUUUACAAUUUUUGGAUACUGAUAUGGAAUUGGCUUUAAACGGAGCUGAAUGACAAAAAAGUAUUUGUGUAGCCGACCCCAACUAGUUUAGGA
rnacentral:misc_RNA from 1 species